rnacentral:lncRNA from 1 species
GGACCGCCAAGACGUGUCCAGUCUGCCCUUUGCUGGGAAACUGCAUGGAGAAAACCUGUCCUCCGGCCCAGGACUCCUGCUGGCUUAGCCAGUUGCAGCUGGCAAAUGGGACUAUCAUCAAGAAUGGGUCCUGCGUGGCCCCUGGGGACUGUCAAGAAGAUGUCUACUCCUUGACCUACUGUCCUGGCUUGAGUCUCUGGAUCCACACAGCCUGUUGUGAAGACAACUGCAGCAGUGUUACCCCACAAGAAGCAAGACCCAAAGCCCAGCCCAACGGGGUGCAGUGCCACCACUGUCCCAGGAAUAAGCUGGGCCUGUGUGACUCCCUUUCGGUCAUGAACUGCACUGGAAACCAGACGGUGUGCUUCACCCUCAGUGGGACAUGGCAUGGAGGUAAGGGUUCCCUUCAGGAGGCCAGCUGCCUGGCCGGCCUCCACGCUGUCUGCACAAAUCAGUGCGGAGGGUCAUUUGCACGUGUGUUCCGGUUAUUUAUUGCUACGUAA